AGAGCAGCUGUUUCGUAAACAGCAGGUCGGCAGUUCAAUCCUGCCCGUUGGCUCCA
rnacentral:tRNA from 1 species